CAAAUUCCUUCUUCCCUAUAAAAUUGACAGGCAGUAAGAAGGGGGAUUGGAUAUAUAUAAAAAAAACAUCAUAACAAAUCGAACAACCACACACAUUGAGCGAAAUCUAUAAUCAUGUCUUGAACAACCAUAAUAAUAACAGUAAACAAUACAAAAUCAUGCAAAGCAAGUGCAUCACUUCAGAUUACCAUGACAACAAACACCUCUAGCAACAUCUUGCGAUCGAUCCUUGACAAAGAAAAAUUGUGGUAAGACCGUUGCUGCUUUAAAGCCUAGUGGAGGCAUAGCAAAAGAAGGCACUUGCUUCCAUUGCGGUAAGACCGGACACUGGAAGAGAAACUGCCCAAAGUACCUGGAAGAUAAGAAGAAUGGAGUAGGGACUUCAACUUCAGGGACUAAAAAGGAGUAGAAAAUUGGCAAAAGGUGAAGUCGACCUACGAGUUGGUAAUGGAGCAAAGGUUGCUGCCUUAGCCGUAGGAACUUAUGAAUUGACUUUACCUAGUGGUUUAAUAAUUUAGUUAGAUAACUGUUAUUAUGUACCUGCAAUUAGCAGGAAUAUUAUUUCCGUUUCUUGU